AUCAACUUUCGAUGGUAGGAUAGAGGCCUACCAUGGUGGUAACGGGUAACGGGGUGUUAGGGCACGACACCGGAGAGGGAGCCUGAGAAACGGCUACCACAUCCAAGGAUGGCAGCAGGCGCGCAAAUUACCCAAUCCCGACACGGGGAGGUAGUGACAAUAAAUAACAAUACGGGGUUCUUUCGGAUCUCGUAAUUGGAAUGAGUACAAUUUAAAUCUCUUAACGAGGAACAAUUGGAGGGCAAGUCUGGUGCCAGCAGCCGCGGUAAUUCCAGCUCCAAUAGCGUAUAUUAAAGUUGUUGCAGUUAAAAAGCUCGUAGUUGAAUUUCGGGGUCAGUAGGUUGGUCGUGCCACCGGUACGUACUGGUCUCACUGAUUCCUCCUUCCUGAUGAGCUGUAAUGUCAUUAAUUUGGUGUCGUGGGGAAUCAGGACUGUUACUUUGAAAAAAUUAGAGUGUUUAAAGCAGGCGCACGCUUGAAUACAUUAGCAUGGAAUAAUGAAAUAGGACAUCCGAUUCUAUUUUGUUGGUUUCUAGGAUCGAUGUAAUGAUUAAUAGGGAUAGUUGGGGGCAUUAGUAUUCAAUUGUCAGAGGUGAAAUUCUUGGAUUUAUUGAAGACUAACUACUGCGAAAGCAUUUGCCAAGGAUGUUUUCAUUAAUCAAGAACGAAAGUUAGGGGAUCGAAGACGAUCAGAUACCGUCGUAGUCUUAACCAUAAACUAUGCCGACUAGGGAUCGGAUGAUGUUGAUUUUAUAAUGACUCAUUCGGCGCCUUACGGGAAACCAAAGUGUUUGGGUUC
rnacentral:rRNA from 1 species